GAUGAACGCUGGCGGCGUGCCUAAUACAUGCAAGUCGAGCGAACAGACGAGGAGCUUGCUCCUCUGACGUUAGCGGCGGACGGGUGAGUAACACGUGGAUAACCUACCUAUAAGACUGGGAUAACUUCGGGAAACCGGAGCUAAUACCGGAUAAUAUAUUGAACCGCAUGGUUCACUAGUGAAAGACGGUUUUGCUGUCACUUAUAGAUGGAUCCGCGCCGCAUUAGCUAGUUGGUAAGGUAACGGCUUACCAAGGCAACGAUGCGUAGCCGACCUGAGAGGGUGAUCGGCCACACUGGAACUGAGACACGGUCCAGACUCCUACAGGAGGCAGCAGUAGGGAAUCUUCCGCGAUGGACGAAAGCCUGACGGAGCAACGCCGCGUGAGUGAUGAAGGUCUUCGGAUCGUAAAACUCUGUUAUUAGGGAAGAACAAAUGUGUAAGUAACUAUGCACGUCUUGACGGUACCUAAUCAGAAAGCCACGGCUAACUACGUG
rnacentral:rRNA from 1 species